rnacentral:rRNA from 1 species
AUUGAACGCUGGCGGCAUGCCUAACACAUGCAAGUCGAACGAGUGGCGGACGGGUGAGUAAUGUCUGGGAAACUGCCUGAUGGCGGGGGAUAACUACUGGAAACGGUAGCUAAUACCGCAUACCAUCAGAGGGGCCCAGAUGGGAUUAGCUAGUUGGUGGGGUAAAGGCUCACCAAGGCGACGAUCCCUAGCUGGUCUGAGAGGAUGACAAGCCACACGGGAACUGAGACACGGUCCAGAUUCCUACGGGAGGCAGCAGUGGGGAAUAUGGCACAAUGGGCGAAACCCGGAUGCAGCCAUCCCUCGUGUAUGAAGAAGGCCUUCGGGUUGUAAAGUACUUUCAGCGGGGAGGCGUUACCUGCAGAAGAAGCACCGGCUAACUCCGUGCCAGCAGCCGCGGUAAUUC